rfam:Schistosoma mansoni, Puerto Rico, WGS project CABG01000000 data, contig: 0904
AUUAAGCUGACGAGUCCCAAAUAGGACGAAGUGAUGCGCGUCAAACUGGAU